AGUGGCGCACGGGUGCGUAACGCGUAUGCAAUCUGCCCUUUUCAGGAGGAUAGCCCUUAGAAAUGAGGAUUAAUACUCCAUAGUAUUAUUGAAUUGCAUGAUUUAAUAAUUAAAGCUUUGGCGGAAAAGGAUGAGCAUGCGUCCCGUUAGCUAGUUGGUAAGGUAACGGCUUACCAAGGCGACGAUGGGUAGGGGGCCUGAGAGGGUUAUCCCCCACACUGGUACUGAGACACGGACCGGACUCCUACGGGAGGCAGCAGUGAGGAAUAUUGGUCAAUGGAUGAGAGUCUGAACCAGCCAUGCCGCGUGCAGGAUGACUGCCCUAUGGGUUGUAAACUGCUUCUAUAUAGGAAGAAACCCUUUUACGUGUAGAAGGUUGACGGUACUAUAAGAAUAAGGACCGGCUAACUCCGUGCCAGCAGCCGCGGUAAUACGGAGGGUCCAAGCGUUAUCCGGAUUUAUUGGGUUUAAAGGGUACGUAGGCGGAGCUUUAAGUCAGUAGUGAAAGCCCAUUGCUUAACAAUGGAACUGCUAUUGAUACUGGAGUUCUUGAAUGUAGUUGAAGUAGGCGGAAUACGGCAUGUAGCGGUGAAAUGCAUAGAUAUGCCGUGGAACACCAAUCGCGAAGGCAGCUUACUAAGCUAUAAUUGACGCUGAUGUACGAAAGCGUGGGGAGCGAACAGGAUUAGAUACCCUGGUA
rnacentral:rRNA from 1 species